AGUGAACGCUGGCGGUAGGCCUAACACAUGCAAGUCGAACGGCAGCACAGGAGAGCUUGCUCUCUGGGUGGCGAGUGGCGGACGGGUGAGGAAUACACCGGAAUCUACUCUGUCGUGGGGGAUAACGUAGGGAAACUUACGCUAAUACCGCAUACGACCUACGGGUGAAAGCAGGGGACCUUCGGGCCUUGCGCGAUUGAAUGAGCCGAUGUCGGAUUAGCUAGUUGGCGGGGUAAAGGCACACCAAGGCGACGAUCCGUAGCUGGUCUGCGAGGAUGAUCAGCCACACUGGAACUGAGACACGGGCCAGAGUCCUAGGGGGUGCAGCAGUGGGGAAUAUUGGGCAAUGGGCGCAAGCCUGAUCCAGCCAUACCGCGUGGGUGAAGAAGGCCUUCGGGUUGUAAAGCCCUUUUGUUGGGAAAGAAAUCCAGCUGGCUAAUACCCGGUUGGGAUGCCGGUACCCAAAGAAUAAGCACCGGCUAACUUCGUGCCAGCCGCCGCCGUAA
rnacentral:rRNA from 1 species